CAGAGGGUGAAAGAUCUUGCUUUUACUAUUUGGAGGUUGAUUUACCAUGAAAAGAAACAACAUCGUCAAAUGAUAACUGGGGAUUAUAAGAAGAGUUGCAAACAACCAGUAGAAGAAAAGAAGAAUCAAUUAUACCUUAUAGAGUUUGUGUCUCAGGUAACUCAGCACUGCUUCUUUUUGGAAGGUGGGGAUCUGAUUCUGUGAAUUGUCAUCCGAGGCAUUUUCUAAAGUCUGAUUACUGAACCAUCUCUUAGGUGUUGAGAACCAAAAUAUUUAGAGCUCUUCUUUAAAAUCUUGUUAAUAUUCUCUGUUUUCUGACUUGCAGCAAGUAGCAAAUAAAGUCAGUGAAAUUUUCUUGUAAUUGAUGUAAUAUGCUCCAUGUGGUUAACACAGCUAAGCAGGUGGGCAUCCUCCUUUUGUGUCAGCCAUAUCUUCCAAACAAUCUCCAAACAAAAUAUAUGAUGAAUUAUGUUGUGAGGAGAAGUGUCUGCCAAGGCACCCUGGGAUUACUGUUUGAGCUGGUUUUAGUUAACAUCUUCACUAAUGAUCUGGAAGAGGGACUAAGCUGCCCAUUAAUUAAACUGUCAGAUAUCACACAGAAAUAGUUUUAGGAUCCUAGCUCAACUGGAAGAUAUGUAGACUGAAAGUAAAGACUGCUAUUAAGAAAAUAAGAAUAAUUUGGGGAAAUACCAGUUUCUUUUUGCCUGGAGUGGCAUCUGAAUUGUGAACUUUGUAUCACCUGUGUGUUCAAACUGUUUGUUUUUCAGCUAAGCAUUCAUCAGUUUGGGAGAAGUAAAAGUUAUGCAAGAUAGGGUUUUCUUGCCUUUAGCUGAAUGUUUUGGUUUCUUACCAGGUCAUCAAACUUGCCUAGCUAUAAAAUUUGCUGAAAAUUAUGGUUGUAUUUUAUUUUUUUUUCUUGUUCUCAUUAAUCAUACUUUAAUUCCAUACUGAUCUAAUGUUGUAUUAUCAGUUUCGUGAUUUUUAUUAAGUUUCGUAUCAGUCCAUCCAAUCACCAAUGUAGUUCAAUUCCCCUUUUACAUUUAUUUUGAAAAGUAAAAUGAAAUGUAUUUGUUUUUUUUUAUGUAAGACCAUUUAAGGUACACAGAAAUAUAGCUAUCAUCAGCAGCUCUAAAAAUCAAGCAUUUAAAAUCAAAAAACAUAGAAUACAAAUCUGCUUGGUUUUUAAGAAUUUGUGAAUGUACUUUUUGUAUAAUGUUCUGUAUAAACUGUGUAUAUGUAGAGUGUAUUCCCUGCUCGUGUCAGAGAGACAGAACUGCCCUGGCCGUAGUGAUCUGGACUGUAUGCUUCUCCUUUGAGAAGUCAGUUGUUUUUGUGAAUUGGGAAUAAACCCACACAGCGUAAGUUAUGUUGGAAAUAAGCUGUGUAUCUGU
ensembl:lncRNA